UACAGAGGUCUCGAGCGUUGUUCGGAUUCAUUGGGCGUAAAGGGUGCGUAGGUGGCGUGGUAAGUCUGGUGUGAAAUCCCGGGGCUCAACCCCGGAACUGCACUGGAUACUGCCAUGCUUGAGUACUGGAGAGGAGAUUGGAAUUUACGGUGUAGCAGUGAAAUGCGUAGAUAUCGUAAGGAAGACCAGUGGCGAAGGCGAAUCUCUGGACAGUUACUGACACUGAGGCACGAAGGCCAGGGGGAGCAAACGGG
rnacentral:rRNA from 1 species